rnacentral:lncRNA from 1 species
AUGUUUUUCCUAUAUCAUACGCUUUCCCAUCCCCUCCAGCCAGAGGCUCCACAGUGUGUAUGUGUGUGUGUGUGUAUGUGUGUAUGUGUGUAUACAAGUACACAGGCGUGUGUGUGUGUGUGUCUGUGUGUGUGUGUGAGAGAGACAAGAGUCUGUCUCAGCGCCUUUUGCCACCCAGCGAUUGGAGUCAGUUUUAAUUGCAGCAUGACAACCACAAGAAAGGACCAGAAGCCCCAUAAAAGCCAAAGCAAGCUGGCAGCCGUCCCACGGUGGAAAGCUAGCCAUGCCAUAAUUACAGGACCGCCGUGCCUCCCCGAGAGCGACUUGGACAUCGCCCGGCAAACAAGGAAUGCCCGGCGCCCCCGGGGCCCCCGUCAGAACAUGAAAGCGCCGGGGCGACGAGACCUCGGUUUUAAAGAGCGCCGGCGAAUUCACCAGCGCCACGUUACAAUUGUUCCAAGUCGGAGAGGAGGCUCACAUGGCAUCAAUAAUUCAUUUUACAAGACUCAUUUCUGCCUCCAGUGAGCAGGUCGAUUUAAGCGUUUUGAUAUCCACACGCCGGGGUGUAACGGGCCGCAUUAAAGAGGCAUUAGCCAAGUUAGCGGCACGUCCCGCUCAAGAGGGAAUUCAGCCGCUUCUCGGGUGGAGCGCGGCUGAUCACCUCUGCUCGUUCUACCGGCGUCGGGCCCGAGAUGCGCCGGCGUCGGUUCUUUGUAGUGGUGGUGGAGUAUUUAAUGAGUGUAUGCAUGGCGGCACACGCGUUCUUACCGCAGCCUACGAGAGGGGGGGUCGCACAGAAACGGCAAUCGGGCUCCCGGAGAGAAGAAGAGGAGCCUCCUCUACAGCAGGCUCACGCCGACCAGACCGAAAAUCUGCUCAGCUCCUUUAAAUCAGACCUCAUCCGCCAAUUUCCGAGCAAUCACAUCGGUAUUCAUGCCAAUACAUUCGCAGCAUAAAGAACAAGCGUCGCUCGAGACGGCGUUGGCCUCUAUUUGGAAAUCCAGACCCCGGCACAUAAAUCUCACCUCGGUAAGUAUUUUACGAGAGCACAAUGUGUGUUUUAUGUGUUCUUUAUGAGUGUGGAAAGGCCACAUCUUGAAUGACACUCGCUGCCAGAGCCAUUGGGGGAAAACACACACAAAAAAACAUUUUACAGGCUCAUUUUCGACAACAUAUGCUCUCCUUCCACUUAGAAUGAGUUUGUGUAAAAAUAGAGAACACGCUUCCUAUUGCUGCUGUGAUCACCUCUUUAUGUUGACUUAUUCCUCGACUGGCGCUGUUACUUACUUACGCCAGUAAAUUACGUAUCCCGGUCGCUGUGAUUUAUUGGUCAGGUAAUGACUGUCAAGGCAAUUGGCUGCUAAAGUGGCGAACCGGGGCUCAAGUGAAGGGUCAGUGUUUAUCACGGCAUUGAUUUUCUGACCAGAGAGCCGCAGACUGUUUUGUCACUCAUGACUCGCACCAACAGGCAAACGGUGCCGCUGUUGUUUCACAAUACACGUGAAUCAUAUUGCUCGUUUUUUAACAACUUCACCGUGGACAAUGUGUCUUAUUAUUAUUUAUUGAAAAGGAUCUGUGGGCCACAUGUGUGGUGUACAGAGAUCAGACAAAGACGCAACUUAUCCAAAAAGUCAAAUCCAGUGUCUUGAUAGACAACUAUUUGGACAAAAUAAAGAAAGUUUUUAUUAAAAGUUUCCA